rnacentral:rRNA from 1 species
UACAGAGGUCCCAAGCGUUGUUCGGAUUCACUGGGCGUAAAGGGUGCGUAGGCGGUUUGACAAGUCUGAUGUGAAAUCCCGCAGCUUAACUGCGGAACUGCAUUGGAAACUGUUUGACUAGAGGAAUGGAGGGGAGACUGGAAUACUUGGUGUAGCAGUGAAAUGCGUAGAUAUCAAGUGGAACACCAGUGGCGAAGGCGAGUCUCUGGACAUUUCCUGACGCUGAGGCGCGAAAGCUAGGGGAGCAAACGGG